rnacentral:rRNA from 1 species
GUUGAUCCUGCGGGAGGUUGCUGCUAUUAGGAUUCGACUAAGCCAUGCAAGUUUACUCACUUCGGUGGGUGGCAGAAUGCUCAGUAACACGUCGAUAAUCUUCCUUUAGGUCAGGCAUAACCUCGGAAAACUGAGGCUAAUUCCUGAUAUGGAAAAAAAAUUGGAAAAUUUUUCCCUCAAAGCUUCGGCGCCUAAAGAUGAGUCGGCGGCCGAUUAGGUUGUUGGUGGGGUAAAGGCCCACCAAGCCGAAGAUCGGUAGGAGCCUUGAAAGAGGUAGCUCCGAGAAGGGCACUGAGGUACUGGCCCUAGCCCUACGGGGUGCAGCAGGCGCGAAACCUUUACAAUGCACGUAAGUGUGAUAGGGGAAUCCUAAGUGCUAAUGUUUUACAUUGGCUUUUUUCAAGAGUAAAUAUCUUGAAGAAUAAGUGGUGGGAAAGACUGGUGCCAGCCGCCGCGGUAACACCAGCGCCACAAGUGGCAACCGCAUAUUAGGCCUAAAGCGUCCGUAGCCGGUCUAAUAAAUCUUUUGUGAAACUGUUGGGCCUAACUCAACAAUGUGCAGAAGACACUAUUAGACUUGGGAACAGUAAGAGUCAGAAGUAUUCUGGGGGGAGCGGUAAAAUGCUAUAAUCCCUAGAGGACUACCAGUGGCAAAGGCGUCUGACUUGGAUGUGUCCGACGGUGAGGGACGAAAGCCAGGGGAGCAAACCGGAUUAGAUACCCGAGUAGUCCUGGCCCUAAACUCUGCGAGCUAGGUGUUACAUAUUCUCCGUGAAUAUGUAGUGUCGUAGCGAAGGUGUUAAGCUCGCCGCCUGGGAAGUAUGGUCGCAAGACUGAAACUUUAAGGAAUUGGCGGGGGAGCACUACAAGGGGUGCGGCGUGCGGUUUAAUCUAAUUCAACGCAGAAAAUCUCACCAGAAGCGACGGCAGGAUGAAAGUCAGAUUGAAGGUCUUACUUGACGAGCCGAGAGGUAGUGCAUGGCCGCCGUCAGCUCGUGCCAUAAGGUGUCCUGUUAAGUCAGGCAACGAGCGAGACCUGUACCUAUAAUUGCUAACAACCUCCGGGAUUGAGCACAUUAUAGGAACUGCCCUCGAAAGGGGGAGGAAGGUGCAGGCUACGGUAGGUCUGUAUGCUCCGAAUCUUCUGGGCUACACGCGCGCAACAAUAGUAGAGACAAUGGGUCGCGACUCCGAAAGGAGGGGCUAAUCCUCGAAACUCUAUUUCAGUCCAGAUUGAGGGUUGGAACUCACCCUCAUGACGCUGGAAUCCCUAGUAAUCAGACGUCAUUAUCGUCUGGUGAAUAUGUCCCUGCUCCUUGCACACACCGCCCGUCAAACCAACCGAGCAGGGCUUGGAUGAGAUUUGGUUUUUUGACCAAUGCGAAUCCAAGCUCAGUGAGGUGGGUUAAGUCGUCACAAGGUA